CCGCCAUUAGCUCAUCGGGAAGAGAGCGCCACCUUCGAAGCUGGUUGCGCGGGGUUCGAGUCCCCGAUGGCGGUCCA
rnacentral:tRNA from 1 species